rnacentral:rRNA from 1 species
GUAGGGGGCAAGCGUUGUCCGGAUUUAUUGGGCGUAAAGAGCGUGUAGGCGGCCAGGUAGGUGGGUUGUGAAAACUGGAGGCUCAACCUUCAGACGUCGACCCAAACCCCCUGGCUAGAGUCCGGAAGAGGAGAGUGGAAUUCCUGGUGUAGCGGUGAAAUGCGCAGAUAUCAGGAAGAACACCCGUGGCGAAGGCGGCUCUCUGGAACGGUACUGACGCUGAGACGCGAAAGCGUGGGGAGCGAACAGGAUUAGAUACCCUGGUAGUCCACGCCGUAAACGAUGGGUGCUAGGUGUGGGGGGUGUCAACUCCCUCCGUGCCGAAGCUAACGCAUUAAGCACCCCGCCUGGGGAGUACGGCCGCAAGGCUA